rnacentral:rRNA from 1 species
CACGUAGUUAGCCGGAGCUUAUAAAUGGUACCGUCAUUUAUUCUUCCCAUUCUUUCGAAGUUUACAUACCGAAAUACUUCAUCCUUCACGCGGCGUUGCUGGGUCAGGCUUUCGCCCAUUGCCCAAAAUUCCCGA